AACGAACGCUGGCGGCAUGCCUAACACAUGCAAGUCGAACGAGACCUUCGGGUCUAGUGGCGCACGGGUGUGUAACGCGUGGGAACCUGCACUUAGGUUCGGAAUAACUAUCCGAAAGGGGUGCUAAUACCGGACAAUGUCUUCGGCCCAAGGAUUUAUCGCCUUUGGAUGGGCCCGAGUUGGAUUAGCUAGUUGGUAGGGUAAAAGCCUACCAAGGCGACGAUCCAUAGCUGGUCUGAGAGGAUGAUCAGCCACACUGGGACUGAGACACGGCCCAGACUCCUACGGGAUGCAGCAGUGGGGAAUAUUGGACAAUGGGCGAAAUCCUGAUCCAGCAAGGCCGCGUGAGUGAUGAAGGCCUUAGGGUUGUAAAGCUCUUUUACCCGGGAUGAUAAUGACAGUACCGGAAGAAUAAGCUCCGGCUAACUCCGUG
rnacentral:rRNA from 1 species